rnacentral:rRNA from 1 species
CGCUCGUAGUCGGAUUUCGGGGCGGGCCGACCGGUCUGCCGAUGGGUAUGCACUGGCCGGCGCGUCCUUCCACCCGGAGACCGCGCCUACUCUUAACUGAGCGGGCGCGGGAGACGGGUCUUUUACUUUGAAAAAAUCAGAGUGUUUCAAGCAGGCAGUCGCUCUUGCAUGGAUUAGCAUGGGAUAAUGAAAUAGGACUCUGGUGCUAUUUUGUUGGUUUCGAACACCGGAGUAAUGAUUAACAGGGACAGUCAGGGGCACUCGUAUUCCGCCGAGAGAGGUGAAAUUCUCAGACCAGCGGAAGACGAACCCCUGCGAAAGCUUUUGUCAGGGAUGUU